GUGGAGGACGGCUGGGGGAUCCGGCGGUGGAGGACCGAAGGCGGGUCGUGAUUAGGCCAACCAGCUCCUCAUCCAUGGAAGGAUUGAAGGAGUCACUGGGGAUGAAGAUCACUGCUCAGGGGCUGACGACCACUCAUCUUUCCGGAGAAGCGUCCUCAUGGUGCAGGCGGUCAAACCUUCACCUCUUUGAAGAGACCAAGCAGCUUGAUGACUGACUGGUUCUUUAUACUCAAGACCUCGUCCCGGAGCAGAGGACGGACCUAAGGCCCGCAGCGCAGCCGACUAGAGACUCCUUGUGGAACCGGUUCAAUUAAGUUGACCUCUCCUUCAGGCGACUUAAAGGGAGACCAGAUGUGCGGCAGCUGGGUGUCAUGGUGCAGAGACCCAACGCUGUACUGAACUACACCAGUGUGUCCUACUCCCAUAAACCCUGAGGAUCCCUGGAUGGCUACACCAGCACAUUAAUCCACACCCAACAUCAACACACAGUGCACUCUAUAGAGCUCGUAAGUCCGCCCCUUGCGGCCGGACCUCGUGAGAUCGUAAGAUAUGACUGGGUUUCAAUGGAGAGAAAGUAAUUAUUUUCUCAAUUUUAUGUUGCACCACAUUUUGGGGGAAGAAUGUUUGAAUCAAUCUUUGUCAUUUAUUUCUGUAAUCCCAGCUGUUGUAUUUUAACACGGUAGCUGGGAACCCUCUUUAUAGGGAGCGACUAGAGGGACGAGACUGGAAGCAAACCUGAGCCUGGAUCUUAACCUUCUUUCUAAACCUAAUGCCGCAAUUUAACCGCAAAUAAAGUGAGGCCUAAAGUAACUUGACUCUCUUACCUAAACUUGCUUGCCUAAACUCGCUUGUCUAAACUCGCUUGCAUUAAACUCGCUUGCAUAAAACCUGAACUUGCUUGGCUAAACUCGCGUCGCUUGCCUAAUACCUGAACUCGCUUGCCUAAACUCGCUUGCCUAAACUUGCUUGUCUGAACUCGCUUGCAUAAAACCUAAACUCGCUUGCAUAAAACCUGAACUUGCUUGGCUAAACUCACGUCGGUUGCCUAAUACCUGAACUUGCUUGCCUAAACUCGCUUGCCUAAUACCUGAACUCGCUUGCCUAAACUCGAUUGCCUGAACUCGCUUGCCUAAUACCUGAACUCACUUAGCUUGACUCGCUUGCCUGUACUCGCUUGGCUAAACUCGCUUGCAUAAAACCUAAACUCGCUUGCAUAAAACCUAAACUCGCUUGCAUAAAACCUAAACUCGCUUAGCUUGCCUGUACUCGCUUGGCCAAACUCGCUUGGCUAAUACCUGAAGUCGCUUUCCCAAUACCUAAACUUGCUUGUCCAAACAUGUUAAACAAAGUUAACCAUCCAUAAUCUUUAACCCAAACCAGACUUGUCCCUGGGUCGCUCCACUUUAAUUUAGAAGUUUAUUUUACCUCAUCUGCGUUUUGAGUUUCAUUCUUUGAGGGCUUGAAGUGCUUUGGAGGAUAUUUGAACCUUUGUUUGCCGCAUCAAUAAACAUGCUUUAUCUAUUUUGUUUUGGAUUGCAUUUCUAUGUGUAAUCCGGCCAAAUGUUCAGUGUCCUUGCAUGUAAUGUCUAUGGUCUGACGAUAAUCUGACCUCUUCAUGAAGCAGAAUGUGUGUGAAUGUUGUCCCGUGAGCGCCAGGCUCUCUGUGGGCCUGUCAACGUCUCUUUAGCAAAAGGUUGGAGAGUGAAAUUAAUUUUUGGGCCAUUUUCAUGUGUUCCUGAGUAUUUCAGACCUGUGGUGUUUCACAUGAGACCUUAAUGGGAACUUUUCUUUUUCUGCCUGCAUACGUAAUGCCUACAUUAGUAGGUUGAUCACUGUUGAUCCCAAUAUUGAUCAUUAACCACCUCAUUCUUUGGGAUUACAAAUCAUGUAAUUUAUGAGCAUAUUUGCAAAUGCCUCCAAAUAUCAGAUUGUGUAAAAACGAAUGAAAUGUAACCUGCUUGAUUUAAAGAAAAUAAAACAUCCAAAUAUUAUAAACCUGUUUUGUGUUGCUCUCUUACCAUGUGGAAAUGAGCAGAUGGAUAUGUUUAGCUCUGAUUUGCUGCCUCCUUUUGGUGUGGUGCUGGGAUUUGUUUAAUAUACUAUUAUCAUUUCCAGGAUAAGUUGAUAACCUAGUAUAGCCUACCCGGAAAAGAAGGGAUAUGAUGGCCAGGGCAGGCUGUUUCGGUG